rnacentral:rRNA from 1 species
GGGCCCGCACAAGCGGUGGAGUAUGUGGUUUAAUUCGAUGCAACGCGAAGAACCUUACCAGGGUUUGACAUCCUGCGAAUCUCUUGGAAACGAGAGAGUGCCUUCGGGAACGCAGUGACAGGUGGUGCAUGGCUGUCGUCAGCUCGUGUCGUGAGAUGUUGGGUUAAGUCCCGCAACGAGCGCAACCCACGUCUUUAGUUGCCAGCAUUUAGUUGGGCACUCUAGAGAGACUGCCGGUGAUAAACCGGAGGAAGGUGGGGAUGACGUCAAAUCAUCACGGCCCUUACGUCCUGGGCUACACACGUGCUACAAUGGUCGGUACAGAGAGCAGCCACUACGCGAGUAGGAGCG